rnacentral:rRNA from 1 species
UACGUAGGGGGCAAGCGUUGUCCGGAAUCAUUGGGCGUAAAGCGCGUGUAGGCGGCUCGAUAAGUCUGCUGUGAAAGUCCAGGGCUCAACCCUGGGAUGCCGGUGGAUACUGUCGAGCUCGAGUCCGGAAGAGGCGAGUGGAAUUCCUGGUGUAGCGGUGAAAUGCGCAGAUAUCAGGAGGAACACCGAUGGCGAAGGCAGCUCGCUGGACGUGACUGACGCUGAGACGCGAAAGCGUGGGGAGCAAACAGG